CCUCCCUCCGGUCAGUGUAGACCUGCCUCCCUCAGGUCAGUGUAGACCCGCCUUCCUGGGCAGGAAGCAGAGAUGGUGCAGGAUCUCCCCUCAUGGCCCCUGCCAUCUGCUGCCCAUGUGACUCCAGCUCCAUUCUCCCCCAGUGGAGCAGCCACCCCCUCGUCUCCGGCUUUGGACAGUUUGCCAAGAGCAUCACGGGAUCUUCAUUACCUCAUUUAAUCCCUUCAACAGAGCCGUGAGGUGGGUGCUAUUAUUAUUAUUAGCCCAUUUUACAGACAAGGAAACUGAGACUGGAAAGAGAGCAAGGGAUGUCCUUGGAACCAUGUGUCCAUCUCCCCUGGAGGAUUCCGAGGCGCUGUGCCCAGAAGGUGCCUCUGAAAUCACCCUGUCCUCUUACUUUACAGCUGAGGAAACUGAGGCCGGCCAAGCCUGUGUGUCCUCCUGCUGCCAUGGAGACCCCACGAAACUGACGCAGUGAGGGUCUCUGGACAUCCUGGCCGGGGUCCGAUGAGCCCCUGACUCCUUCCAGGUCAGAGAGCCGAGGCUGGCCCGGGCGUCCCAGGCUGCCUGGAUCCUUCCCUGCCGGCCCUGCCGGCCUCACGGCCUGGCCCCCUGCCUGGCUCCUAGAGAUCCCCAGGGGGCAGGAAGUGUGGCCAACAGGGCCUGGGGCUCGGCCCGCGCCCCUCCCUGAAGGCAGCGGUCAUGAGACUUUGGAGAAGGCGCUUGAGUUUCCUGACAAAUGUGCUAAGUGUCAUUUCCUGCUCCACCAACGAGCCAGGCCUCUUGGACAGCUGCUGCUGCCUCCUCCGGAGCCGAGGCUGGGGCCAGGGGCUGGGGGAGGCCAGUGCCUCGAGAUUUCUGGACUAAGAAACCCUCUCUUCAAGGAGGCUAAAAAUUGAUCAAGCAGGGCAAGCCGACUGCUCGUUGAUGUUUGCCGAGACAACAACAAUCACAGAGCUUCCGCAGCCGCACACGUUUGGAGGCCUUAUGAACGAUUUCCUGUUUGGCCCUGGGUAGGUGGAGGCCUAGGGGGACUGCAGGGAGAAGGAAAGGGAAGGAAGACAUCCCAUGAGGUAAGAGGAGACCAUAGGGAGGCUGACCACAGUGAAAGCUAGAAGGCCCGGCAACCAGCCCGGCUCCGGCCCAGCUCCAGCACACAUGUAUGAUUCCAGGCAAGUGCUUGCCUUCUCGGUGCCUCAGUUUCCUUAUCUGUAAAAUGAGGGUGAGACUACCGCCUUGCCCACUGUGCAUGCCCAGUGCGGUGGCAAGGCUUAAUUGAGUAUGAAAAAUGCUAUAGACCUUCCUAUGUACAAGUUUUUAGUAAUAACUGGCAUUUGUUUGAAUAUAGAGAUACUAUUAAAUUAUUAAUUAUAUUAAUUAUUAUCAUUAAUUAAUUAUUAAGUACUCAGAACCAUCUAACCAUAGUGUAGGGGCUCCCUAACAAUGGACAAACUCCUGAGUGACAGGAGCAGUGAUCUCAAGCUGGGAGAAAUCUCGAAGGACAAUCUAGUACAAUUUUGCCAUUUCACAGAUGAGAAAACUAAUGCCUGAGGGAGUUAUUGAUUUGCCCAGGAUCAGUAUUCGAGGAGGGAUUUAAACCCAGGGGCUCUGACUUCUGAGUGAGAGCUCUUCCCAUUGGAUCACACUGCCUCCGUCACCUAGACAUUUAAAAUCCCUCAUAGACCAGCUGCAACCAAGCUGCCCAGACCCAUUUUACAUCCCAUUCUGCCUUGCAACUAAACUGGCCGACUUGCCUCUUCCUUCGCUAACUAGCCCGUCUCCCACCUCUGUGCCUUUGCCCCGGCUGUUCCUCAUGCCUGGAAUGCAUUUCCUCUUCCACUCAGACUCUUGGAAACUGGGAGCUCCCUUCAAGGCCCAACUUAGCUGCCACCUCCUAGGGGAAGCCCUUCUGACACCUGGAAGGGUUAGUUUGGACUUCUUCCUUGAAUUAGCUCCUGUUAUUUUUCUGUUUACUUAUACCUUCAGAAGAAGGAAAGUUCCUUGAGGACAAGAGCUGUUUAGCAUUUUUAACUUAGUAUUCCCCUCUUCUAAUUCAAUGUCUGAUGGGGAGGGCAGUGGGAGUAAGGGGAUAUUUUUGUGAGUUACAGAGUACACAGUAAGCACAACAGUGUUGUAGGAAACAAUGGCAAAAGAAAUUGAAAGCUGGGCAAUUAAUGAUAAUGAGCAAACUUAGCUGGAAGAGACAGAUGCAACAAUGUAUUUUUUCCUCUCUUUGCCAGGCAAACACUGAUCGAUACUGUUGCCGGAACACUACAUAAUUAUACUGGUGGGAACACUCACCUGGAUGGGUGUGAACACUCUGUGAACGGAUGUCUAUAUAAUCUGGCAGGAGCCCUGCACAGCUUCACGUAAUGGUGUGAACAAAGCAUAUGUUAUAUAUAAAUAUAUAGCAUGUAUUCACAA